UACGUCUGAAGAUGGGAUCUCUUCUCUCUCUCAAUUGAUUCAGAUCAUUUAGGGAGACAAUGUUUAUAAACAACAUGGGAUAAAAUGGACAGAAUAUUGCUAAAGCUGCUGAAGAAUAAGAACAAAUAUGUUUCAGACUACACAAAGGACACAUGGAGUGAGUCAAAGCACCUUGGUUUUCCAAAAACUAUGAAAUAGUGACUGCUUAACAUGAAGUUUUUAAAGUUCUGGAACUUCCACAUCCCUGUUGGAGAUCUCUCUCUUCCAUUAAAAUGCAAGAGAGCAGAUGAGUUUGCCCCCUCUCUUGGAUUACACAGGCAGACAUUUGGUCAUAGAUAAGCUGCCACAGAAUGGUUGCAUUGGUUGUAUGCUCAAGGACAAGACUUGCAGUGCUAGCAAUGACGUCAAGUCAGUCCCUUGCAAAUAUCCAAGAUGCCUGUAUGACUGGUGUCACAGCCUGUCACACCAUUAUUUUGAUUAAUGCUGGUAAUACCAUGGACAGCUGGAAGUAGCCUCUUUGUGGGUUCACCCAACAAAUAAACUUUACUAGUAUCAUGAAGGAUGAUAAGCUUAAUUAACUGUAUGAUGAAAACUGAGUCUAAUGAAGUCCAUACAAUCCAUCUAAAUGCAGAGGUGCAUGGACUAAAACAAUGUUGUACUGAAGACCAGAGAAAAUCACAGUAUGACUAAAUGGAUAAAAAUACCAAGAAUCAAGACCCAGAACUUCUAUAAUUAAGAACUCCCCAAAUUGUGUUUUAAAAUUAUAACAGUAUUCCAAUGUAAAACUGAUGAAAACCAGCUGGUCAGAAUCCAACACUUUUAGGUUAUGAAAUGGGAGACAAAGAGGAACCCUGUAAGCUGGAAGUAAGGGUGUGAAUGUAGAGUCCAAGAGCUUCUGUAUUGUAUAGCUAGCUAUUUUAUUUGCUGCUUUUUACCUGCUACUUCUCUCACUGUCUUCUACAUUGGGAAAUCUAUCUGCAUCAACAAGCUGCAAACUACUUUUGGUAACCAUAUGAUUAUUAAUUUAUAUAAUCUCUCUACUUAUAUUACUUGGAAAAAUCAUUUUGAUCAGUGAUGUGUUCCUCUAAUUAGUUGUGCUGGAAUUAAGACAUGUAUUAAAG